CCCAAACUGCCUCUUUUAUGAGUUCAUCCAAAGCAUUCACCUCCGCCCUGAUCUUGCUGCAGCUGGUCUUGUCCAAUAACCGCAGAACUCUCUGCAAGUAAUCCAUCUGGUCGUAGACAAGCUGUAAGAUUUGUGGAGAGUGGGAAAUGAGAGAAAUGCGAGACGAUUGUAUAAUACGCUGAAUCGUAUUCUUGAGAGAAAUCGCCGCACCAUAAGCCGCCAUACCCAAAUUAUCAGCUCAGAAUACGAUUGUUGAAAUGAAAUUGCUUAGCUCUGCAAUUUUCCUCCAAAAUGAAGCUUAAACUAAACUGCAAUCAGCCCAGAAUAAAAUUCAGUCGCCUAACAAAGAAACGGAGAAGCAGAAGAAGGAAUUAUAAUAAGCAAAUUGAGAUGAAAUAAAUGAUAGAUCUCAGCUCGCUGCUGUACCUCUCGUGGAGGAGUUGGCGCAAGUCGACGGCGGCGGCAGCUGGUUUUGAUACAAUUUCAGAAACAUUCAAAACCACAUUCAAGAAUUUAGUAAAUGAUUUGAAAAGAUGUGUAUAAUGCAAUGGUAAAAUCGAUCUAUUGAUGAUUUUUAUGGCAAUUGUGUGUAAGAAUAGUAGCGAGAAACUAAGCAACCGAAGAUUCUAAUUAUGAAGAUUGAG
rnacentral:lncRNA from 1 species